rnacentral:rRNA from 1 species
CAGGCCUAACACAUGCAAGUCGAGCGAGAUCUUCGGGUCUAGCGGCGGACGGGUGAGUAACGCGUGGGAACGUGCCCUUUGCUACGGAAUAGUCCUGGGAAACUGGGGGUAAUACCGUAUACGCCCUUUUGGGGAAAGAUUUAUCGGCGAAGGAUCGGCCCGCGUUGGAUUAGGUAGUUGGUGGGGUAAUGGCCUACCAAGCCGACGAUCCAUAGCUGGUUUGAGAGGAUGAUCAGCCACACUGGGACUGAGACACGGCCCAGACUCCUACGGGAGGCAGCAGUGGGGAAUCUUAGACAAUGGGGGCAACCCUGAUCUAGCCAUGCCGCGUGAGUGAUGAAGGCCUUAGGGUUGUAAAGCUCUUUCAGCUGGGAAGAUAAUGACGGUACCAGCAGAAGAAGCCCCGGCUAACUCCGUGCCAGCAGCCGCGGUAAU